GACGAACGCUGGCGGCGCGCCUAACACAUGCAAGUCGAACGAGCGAGAGAGAUCUUGCUUUCUCGAUCGAGUGGCGAACGGGUGAGUAACGCGUGAGGAACCUGCCUCAAGGAGGGGGACAACAGUUGGAAACGACGGCUAAUACCGCAUAAGCCCACGACCCGGCAUCGGUGAGAGGGAAAAGGAGCAAUCCGCUUUGAGAUGGCCGCGCGGCCGAUUAGCUAGUUGGUGAGGUAACGGCCCACCAAGGCGACGAUCGGUAGCCGGACUGAGAGGUUGAACGGCCACAUUGGGACUGAGGCACGGCCCAGACUCGUACGGGAGGCAGCAGUGGGGAAUACUGCACCAUGGGGGAAACCCUGAUGCAGCGACGCCGCGUGGAGGAAGCAGGUCUUAGGAGUGUAGAAUCCUGUUGUUGAGGAAGAUAAUGACGGUACUCAACAAGGAAGAGACGGCUAACUACGUG
rnacentral:rRNA from 1 species